rnacentral:rRNA from 1 species
AAUGGUGUCUAUGGCGAGGGUGUUCACCUCUUCCCUUUCCGAACAGAGAAGUUAAGCCCCUCAGCGCCGAUGGUACUGCGGUCAAACGUGGAAGAGUAGGUCGAUGCCAGUA